UACGGGGGGGGCAAGCGUUGUUCGGAAUUACUGGGCGUAAAGGGCUCGUAGGCGGCCAACUAAGUCGGAUGUGAAAUCCCCCGGGCUUAACCUGGGAACUGCAUCCGAUACUGGAUGGCUUGAAUUCGGGAGAGGGAUGCAGAAUUCCAGGUGUAGCGGUGAAAUGCGUAGAUAUCUGGAGGAAUACCGGUGGCGAAGGCGGCAUCCUGGACCGAGGAUUGACGCUGAUGAGCGAAAGCUAGGGGAGCAAACGGG
rnacentral:rRNA from 1 species